ACAUGCAAGUCGAACGGAUCCUUCGGGAUUAGUGGCAGACGGGUGAGUAACGCGUGGGAAGCUACCUUGUGGUAGGGAACAACAGUUGGAAACGACUGCUAAUACCCUAUGAGCCCUAUGGGGGAAAGAUUUAUCGCCAUGAGAUGUGCCCGCGUUAGAUUAGCUAGUUGGUAAGGUAAUGGCUUACCAAGGCGACGAUCUAUAGCUGGUCUGAGAGGAUGAUCAGCCACACUGGGACUGAGACACGGCCCAGACUCCUACGGGAGGCAGCAGUGGGGAAUAUUGGACAAUGGGGGCAACCCUGAUCCAGCCAUGCCGCGUGAGUGAUGACGGCCUUAGGGUUGUAAAGCUCUUUCAGCAGUGAAGAUAAUGACAUUAACUGCAGAAGAAGCCCCGGCUAACUUCGUGCCAGCAGCCGCGGUAAUACGAAGGGGGCUAGCGUUGUUCGGAAUCACUGGGCGUAAAGCGUACGUAGGCGGACUGAUCAGUCAGGGGUGAAAUCCCGGGGCUCAACCCCGGAACUGCCUUUGAUACUGUCAGUCUUGAGAUCGAGAGAGGUGAGUGGAACUCCGAGUGUAGAGGUGAAAUUCGUAGAUAUUCGGAAGAACACCAGUGGCGAAGGCGGCUCACUGGCUCGAUACUGACGCUGAGGUAC
rnacentral:rRNA from 1 species